CCGUGUUGCGCGGUGUGAAAGUGGAAGUUGUGUUGAAAGCACACGGUGAGCGUGCAGAUGGGGGCCAGAAUUCAUCUUAGCUGGCCUUGGUCGUCACUUCAACUGUGGGUAGUUGAGCAGCAUUACUGUUCCCAUUUCACAGAUGAAGAAACAGAGAGGUUGUGUGCAUUGGUGACUUUCUAAAGGACACGUUGUGAACAGAGAUAGGACGGGACCCUGCUCCAACCGUGUGCCCACCAGGUCAUCCUUGUUGCCUCACGCCUGAUAACCGAGCAGGGCUGGAAAAGUGCUGUCAACAAAUGACUUCUUUUCGCCUUUAGGACAAACUUCUGCAUAUGUAGGCCUGGUGGCAUUCCUCUCACCUUACAGGUGAGAAAAUUGAGUCGAGGAACACGCCUGAGGUCCCACCUCUGACAGUGACAGGCCAGGACUGUAACUUUCCUUCAUCCAAACCUGGUACCUACAUGACUCAAGCAAGGGAAAGGUCAGGGCACCCCUGCCUCCCACUGGCCUUAGAGCAGCCACACCCAUGAUCCCGAGCCUUUUGGACUCCGAGAUGCAGCAGAUCAAAGGCCUUGUGAUAAAAGUGGAGACUUAGAGACAAUCCUCGGACUGCUGAACUUCUCCACUCUCACGGCAUUGCCCAUCAGGAGGGAUUGCAGUUCUGAACAUGACGGAUCAGAUGCAAUAUCAGAGGAGCUUCACGUCUGCAGGCCUGUCCCAGAGCAGAAGCCAAAGAGCCAAAUGGCAUAGUCUGAAUGUGGUCACUAUCCUGCCAGCCACUGGGCCAGACUCUGGCUGUUGGCACAGGGUUCUGCUGCCCGUUGUGAGAUAG
ensembl:lncRNA